rnacentral:lncRNA from 1 species
CCAGGUGCUCCGCAUGGCGCAGCUUUAUACGACCGCAGAGGUCGAACCCUGAACAGUUGGGGCAAGUAUGGACAAAACAUUCAAGCGUGAUACAGCUCUGAAUUUGGAUUGUGAUCAAAUUUUUGACAUUAUAUGUUUUUUUUUUACACAAAACAAAUGUCAAGAUUUUACAAAUCAAUUAAAGAUUUCUUCAAACUUUUUAAAUCUAAAAUUAAAUAGUUGACACAGCAUAGGUUUCUGACACAGAAUGAAUGUGGUCUAAUGAACUUAAAAGUUUUUUUUUUGCCUUUGAGCAAUUCACUAUGCUGUUGAAU